rnacentral:rRNA from 1 species
UACUAGAGUAGCACUCGCAUAUCAAUAAGCGGAGGAAAAGAAACUAACAAGGAUUCCCCUAGUAACGGCGAGUGAAGCGGGAAGAGCUCAAAUUUGAAAUCUUAAAGGGUUUCCCUUUACGAAUUGUAGUUUAAAGAAGUGUUUUCUGUUGAGGUUUUGGUAAAAGUUCUUUGGAAUAGGACAUCAUAGAGGGUGAGAAUCCCGUAUUUGACCUUUACUUUCAACUUUGUGAUACACUUUCAAAGAGUCGGAUUGUUUGGGAAUGCAGUCCAAAAUGGGUGGUAAAUUUCAUCUAAAGCUAAAUAUUGGCGAGAGACCGAUAGCGAACAAGUACCGUGAGGGAAAGAUGAAAAGAACUUUGAAAAGAGAGUUAAACAGUACGUGAAAUUGUCAAAAGGGAAGCGUUUGACACCAGUGUUGUUUUUCUGAAAAUCAAUUAAAGAACUGUUUAUGCUAAGUUGUUUAGACUUUAUCAGCUAUCUGUUUAGUUUUGAGCUUUUCUUUAGUGCACUUUUCAGUUAACAAGUCAACAUCAAUUUCUUUUGCUGUAAAAAAGCUUGAGGAAGGUGGCUUGAGAUUCGUCUUAAGUGUUUAUAGCCUCUUGCCUAUGCAGUCGGAGAGAUUGAGGUCUGCAGCGUAGAUCCUUCGGGGCUAAAUGCAUUUGUGCUAAGUUAUAGCAUUUUAUAGACAACUUGUUGACUAUGAUUUGUCUUGUAGCUUACUCGCUUAUGUUAUUUUACCUACGCUUAGGAUGUUGAGCGCAUGUCUCUCUCU